rnacentral:rRNA from 1 species
AGCAGCCGCGGUAAUUCCAGCUCCAAUAGCGUAUAUUAAAGUUGUUGCAGUUAAAAAGCUCGUAGUUGAAUUUCGGGAUCAGAUUGUUGGUCGUGCCUCGGUACGCACUGGCAUUAUUGGUUCCUACCUUCUGAAGAACCGCGAUGUCAUUAAUUUGGUGUCGUGGGGAAUCAGGACUGUUACUUUGAAAAAAUUAGAGUGUUUAAAGCAGGCGCACGCUUGAAUACAUUAGCAUGGAAUAAUGAAAUAGGACGUUUGAUUCUAUUUUGUUGGUUUCUAGGAUCGACGUAAUGAUUAAUAGGGAUAGUUGGGGGCAUUAGUAUUCAAUUGUCAGAGGUGAAAUUCUUGGAUUUAUUGAAGACUAACUACUGCGAAAGCAUUUGCCAAGGAUGUUUUCAUUAAUCAAGAACGAAAGUUAGGGGAUCGAAGACGAUCAGAUACCGUCGUAGUCUUAACCAUAAACUAUGCCGACUAGGGAUCGGAUGAUGUU